rnacentral:rRNA from 1 species
GACGAACGCUGGCGGCGUGCCUAAUACAUGCAAGUAGAACGCUGAAGGAGGAGCUUGCUUCUCCGGAUGAGUUGCGAACGGGUGAGUAACGCGUAGGUAACCUGCCUGGUAGCGGGGGAUAACUAUUGGAAACGAUAGCUAAUACCGCAUAAGAGUAGAUGUCGCAUGACAUUUGCUUAAAAGGUGCAACUGCACCACUGCCAGAUGGACCUGCGUUGUAUUAGCUAGUUGGUGAGGUAACGGCUCACCAAGGCAACGAUACAUAGCCGACCUGAGAGGGUGAUCGGCCACACUGGGACUGGGACACGGCCCAGACUCCUACGGGAGGCAGCAGUAGGGAAUCUUCGGCAAUGGACGGAAGUCUGACCGAGCAACGCCGCGUGAGUGAAGAAGGUUUUCGGAUCGUAAAGCUCUGUUGUAAGAGAAGAACGAGUGUGAGAGUGGAAAGUUCACACUGUGACGGUAUCUUACCAGAAAGGGACGGCUAACUACGUG